AAUUUUGAAGGGCCGCAGUAUUCUGACUGUGCAAAGGUAGCAUAAUCAUUUGCCUUUUAAUUAGAGGCUAGUAUGAAUGGUUGAACGAAAUACAAACUGUCUCAUUUUUAUAAUUUUAAAAAUUUAGCUUUCUAGUUAAAAGGCUUGAAUAUUAUUAGAGGACGAGAAGACCCUAUAGAACUUUAUAUAAUUUUAUUUAAGUAUUUAUAGUAAAAUAAUUUUAUUUAUUUACCAUUAUAUUUUGUUGGGGUGACAGGAAAAUUUAUUUAACUUUUUUAAUUUAAAACCAUUGAUUUAUGAAUAUUUGAUCCAUUAUUAUUGAUUAUUAGAAUAAGUUACCUUAGGGAUAACAGCGUAAUUUUGUUGGAGAGUUCAUAUCUAUAACAAAGUUUGCGACCUCGAUGUUGAAUUA
rnacentral:rRNA from 1 species